rnacentral:lncRNA from 1 species
GGGGAUUGUGUGCUUGUGCUAUGAUGAUUACUUUUAUUUUUAAGAUACUAUACACUUUGAGGUGAUAGGCAUGUGCUAUGAUGAUUACUUUUACUUCUAAGAUACUAUACAAAUUCUAAGGCAAUAGAUACGUGCAUGUGCUUUGAUUUAGGCAAAAUGGCAUGUGCAGUGGUGAUUAGUCCUAUACCAUAGUGGUAUCUGAUUUUAAGUGCGGUAUGGCCGAAGAGAUCAUGCCAGCUAGUGAUCUAGUGUUCCCUGAACUUGAAGUUGUUUUUGUUGCUGUUGAGGAGCAUGGUGUUGGGGAUGUUGCUAUUGAGGAACAUGGUGCU